GGUGAAUUUUCAGACCUGCAUCCUCUGAUCAGACCCAGCCCCUGGAGCAGAACGGAGGUGUAAUGCUGAGGAGCUGCAGGGCAGAGCACAGCUUUGGUCACUUUGGAGUUGGAGAUCUUGAGCCGGGGAGGAGAUCCCAGUGAGGGGAGAAGGGAUGUCCCCAGCCUGACAGCUCCUUCCUGGCUGCGCUCUGCCCGCUCUCUGCCCGAUGUCUCCGGGAUUCUCCAGGAGGGACCCAACCUGCCGUGGCCCCAGCAAGAGGCAGCAUUGGCUGCUGGACGUGGAGGGGUUCUGCAUUGCUUCGCACCUGUGGGGAGGGAGCCAGGGGAUGGGGAGCCUGGCAAAAAUCCCGUGUAACUCCUGUAUGUCACCUCCAGGACCCAAAUACCCCUGGGCAGAGAGGUGUGAGCACCGUCCCAGCUGGGUGUGGGGAUGUUGGUGGGAGCAGGAGGGAGGUCUGAGCGGGAUGGAUGCCAUGUUAAGGGGCUCUGCUCAUGGAGCAGAGCUUGGCCUACGCUGUGCGUGCGUGCGUGAUGGACUGAGCGUGGGCUGACCACGCCUGGUCCAGGCGGUGUUCCAUUGCACUGUAAGAAAAAUGCACUGUAAUUCCCCCCUAAUUAAAAUCAACCCCACCCCGUGCACUGUUGCAAAUAAACACU
rnacentral:lncRNA from 1 species